UGCAAAGGCAAUCGUUGCGCCGAUUUAGCGCAGAUGCAUCACCUUUGGGGUUUUCCUUCACUGUUCGCACUCUAAAGUGAACCUCGCCGUAAGUGCCUAUGGAGUACAAUCAGGAGUCUUCGUCUGACUCUGCCAAGGACUCGAACGAAGAGGGGCAAAAUGGAACAUACUCACUCGGAGGAUGUGGGCGUGGUCUCGCCUGUGGCCGCUUCUUCGCUGUUGGAGCCCGGUCGUCUGGUCGCCUUCAGGGUUGCGCCGACGCUUGGCUGGCAGCGUCGCGGAUAUGGCUGGUGUGCACCGCUGAGCCGAAUCCUGGCCUUUGGGAUGUUUCGUGCGCCUCUCUGGUGCGAGAGCUGGUCCCUUCGUUGCCGGAGCCGUUUAUUUUGAUUUUUAUUGGUUCGUCUCUCGUCGC